rnacentral:rRNA from 1 species
GCAGUAGAACGCUGAAGAGAGGAGCUUGCUCUUCUUGGAUGAGUUGCGAACGGGUGAGUAACGCGUAGGUAACCUGCCUUGUAGCGGGGGAUAACUAUUGGAAACGAUAGCUAAUACCGCAUAACAAUGGAUGACACAUGUCAUUUAUUUGAAAGGGGCAAUUGCUCCACUACAAGAUGGACCUGCGUUGUAUUAGCUAGUAGGUGAGGUAACGGCUCACCUAGGCGACGAUACAUAGCCGACCUGAGAGGGUGAUCGGCCACACUGGGACUGAGACACGGCCCAGACUCCUACGGGAGGCAGCAGUAGGGAAUCUUCGGCAAUGGGGGCAACCCUGACCGAGCAACGCCGCGUGAGUGAAGAAGGUUUUCGGAUCGUAAAGCUCUGUUGUAAGUCAAGAACGAGUGUGAGAGUGGAAAGUUCACACUGUGACGGUAGCUUACCAGAAAGGGACGGCUAACUACGUGCCAGCAGCCGCGGUAAUACGUAGGUCCCGAGCGUUGUCCGGAUUUAUUGGGCGUAAAGCGAGCGCAGGCGGUUUGAUAAGUCUGAAGUUAAAGGCUGUGGCUCAACCAUAGUUCGCUUUGGAAACUGUCAAACUUGAGUGCAGAAGGGGAGAGUGGAAUUCCAUGUGUAGCGGUGAAAUGCGUAGAUAUAUGGAGGAACACCGGUGGCGAAAGCGGCUCUCUGGUCUGUAACUGACGCUGAGGCUCGAAAGCGUGGGGAGCGAACAGGAUUAGAUACCCUGGUAGUCCACGCCGUAAACGAUGAGUGCUAGGUGUUGGAUCCUUUCCGGGAUUCAGUGCCGCAGCUAACGCAUUAAGCACUCCGCCUGGGGAGUACGACCGCAAGGUUGAAACUCAAAGGAAUUGACGGGGGCCCGCACAAGCGGUGGAGCAUGUGGUUUAAUUCGAAGCAACGCGAAGAACCUUACCAGGUCUUGACAUCCCGAUGCUAUUUCUAGAGAUAGAAAGUUACUUCGGUACAUCGGUGACAGGUGGUGCAUGGUUGUCGUCAGCUCGUGUCGUGAGAUGUUGGGUUAAGUCCCGCAACGAGCGCAACCCCUAUUGUUAGUUGCCAUCAUUCAGUUGGGCACUCUAGCGAGACUGCCGGUAAUAAACCGGAGGAAGGUGGGGAUGACGUCAAAUCAUCAUGCCCCUUAUGACCUGGGCUACACACGUGCUACAAUGGUUGGUACAACGAGUUGCGAGUCGGUGACGGCAAGCUAAUCUCUUAAAGCCAAUCUCAGUUCGGAUUGUAGGCUGCAACUCGCCUACAUGAAGUCGGAAUCGCUAGUAAUCGCGGAUCAGCACGCCGCGGUGAAUACGUUCCCGGGCCUUGUACACACCGCCCGUCACACCACGAGAGUUUGUAACACCCGAAGUCGGUGAGGUAACCUUUUGGAGCCAGCCGCCUAA